AUGUUAUGUUGUCUCGGUUACAGUGCUACUGUUUUCAAAGGGCAAUUUCAAUCAUUUUCAAUCCAAUUGCACACGGUGAUAAUUGGUAAUAAUUCUGCAAUUUAUGUGUUCCUCGACAUUAACCUAGCCCGUGCGUUGCACGGGUUGACGUCUAGUUAUGAUAAUUGUUCUUUAAUAGAUUGUAUUUCCUUGUUGCAAUUCGUGUUAUAUUCUCCUCAUGCUUAUAGUCAAAAUAAAGCUUUUACCAAACAUAUCGUUGAUGCUUUAAUGCAAUAUUAUGAAGAAAAACUGGAAUUGGAAGUUUCUAUCCCUAGAAAACUUUAUGAUGAGUGGGAACCUACUAUUAAAAUUAAAAUUGAGAUCAUGAAUGCUAUGCUUUGUGUGAUUUGGGUGCUAGUGUUUCCACGAUUCCAAAAACUUUAUGUCAUGUGCUAG
rnacentral:rRNA from 1 species